GGCUUCGUGGCCUAAUGGCUAGGGCGCUAGAUUUCGGUAUUCCUGAUCCUCUAGAGAUUGUCGGUUCGAGUCCGGCCGAAGUCG